rnacentral:rRNA from 1 species
GCAUAUCAAUAAGCGGAGGAAAAGAAACCAACAGGGAUUGCCUUAGUAACGGCGAGUGAAGCGGCAAAAGCUCAAAUUUGAAAUCUGGCACCUUCGGUGUCCGAGUUGUAAUUUGAAGAAGGUAACUUUGGAGUUGGCUCUUGUCUAUGUUCCUUGGAACAGGACGUCACAGAGGGUGAGAAUCCCGUGCGAUGAGAUGCCCAAUUCUAUUAAAGUGC